rnacentral:lncRNA from 1 species
ACAUGAACAAAAUCAAUUCAAAAUACCUAUAACAAUCUUUUCUGUUUCAUGGGAGAGGAACUUUUCCAUGGGAAAAAAAUUUUACCAUGCUACUCUGUUUCUCUAGGUCAAAUGCAAAUGACCACCAAAAUCUAUACUCCCCUAAAUGCUUUUCUAAAUUACACAAUGAGUAGAAGUUUGUUAAUAACUCUGACCUUGGUCCAGGACAGCUUCUCAUGCCAUCCACCAGACAACUGAUGGCGUAUCUGCCUCUGAACUCAAGGAUGUCUUUCCUUAGCUUGAAUUACCUUGAGAAACUAAGCUGACUGCAGAUCCUAAGCAAGAAACGGCUCCAAAUUUGCAAGUCUUGGUCCAACCUUCUCAUACCAUCCAAAAGUGUCUGACAUUGAAAUUCUAGUUUCAGUGAAGUGUGUUAAUGCAUAUUUUAAUGAAUGCAAACUGUGAGGUCUAGCAGUGCUGUGGAAACAUUCCCUUUAAAAAAAGGAACAGUUCCAGAAGGUACAUGCAUUUAACCCACACGUCACUUUUUUAAGAAGCUCAUUCUUAAUGAAUAUAAAUAUGUCAUGUUAUCUGAAAAUUAAGGUCAUAAACUAGUGAUGAUAAGAAGAGUGUAGAGUAUGUCAUACUCAUUAAAAGAAAUGGACAAAUGGCAAGCUACAGGAAGAAACAGCACAUGGAGUAUGUCAGGCAGAGUAUUGCCCGUGUAGCAUUUUAAUAGAAUAAUUUCUUAUGUUUUCAGUUCUGACUCUCACCUGAAACCCCCCACAAGAUCUCUAAGCAGUGGUACCUUGUUGCCCAGAGUUAUUUCAUUCCAAUCCCUUGCACAGAUUUGAGAGCCUUUUGAUGAAACCUAACAGUAAAGAGCGGACAUUACUUCUCAUCUAGAAUGGCUGCUGUAGGUCAGACUGGCCCUAUGGAACACCCUCAAGCUGAGUGAGGCUAUUUCACAAAACAAGUCACUGGUCUCAGCCCUCCCUCUCACCUGAUGGCCCAGAGAGCACACAAGAAUAGAGAAAGCAGGAUUAUGAUGUCAUUUUUCAAAGCCCAUGUCCGCAAGCUUCGGUCUGAGGAGAGCCUGUGGUCAUAUGAGAUUAGAGGACGGUUCACCAAAGAAAUGAGUUUUGAGCAAGACCCACUGAAGCAGAAUCUGGGCCAUACAUCAGGAGAAAUGCUGAAAUAGAGUUUAGCAUAAAAGAACUGAAACACCAGCCUUUCUGGCAGAGGCAACUGUGCUGAAACUCUGAAUUCAGAGGAAAGAAAUGUUUAAGUCCCUGGUCUAUGCUCAUAACAGUAGUGAAGUCUGCAACCGUAGGAAGAUGGCCUCACCUUUCUCAACUUGUGCUUCUUCAGGAAUAAGAAAAGGAUGAAAUCCCGGUUUGUGUCAUUUCCGUAGAUAAUGGAAGGGCACAAUGCAAGUCACAGGAAAUAUUUAGUAAUUCUUAGUUGAAGAGAAAUGAGCAUUGUGUGGUUGCCAGGACCUGAUUUUCUUCUCAUUUGAAAGGAGCAGGUAGACAGAGUAGCCAUGGUCAGUAAUAGUCCUAGAUAGCUUGCCAUGUGACUUUUAGAGGAGAGUGGUUCUCCUUUUGCUUCCAGGAUUACCUCAACAGCCCAGGGAGGGGACAAGCAUCUCUGAGGCCCUGUGAAGCUAUGGCUUUUGUAGGGAAAAGUGAGUCUGUGGGCACCACGCUGUGACCAUGUGCUCAAGAUAGUUAAGUGCUGAGCAACCUGGCCAUGUGCCUAUAUCUGUAAUGACAUUAACAAGCUUUGACAGAACACUUAACCAGCUAGAAACACUGUGUUAUUUAAUUGUAUUGUUACAAGAAAUCAAGGAGCUAUUAUUCAAGACCUCUGUACAAAG